rnacentral:rRNA from 1 species
UACGUAGGGCGCAAGCGUUGUCCGGAAUUAUUGGGCGUAAAGAGCUCGUAGGCGGCUUGUCACGUCGGAUGUGAAAGCCCGGGGCUUAACUCCGGGUCUGCAUUCGAUACGGGCUGGCUAGAGUGUGGUAGGGGAGAUCGGAAUUCCUAGUGUAGCGGUGAAAUGCGCAGAUAUCAGGAGGAACACCGGUGGCGAAGGCGGAUCUCUGGGCCAUUACUGACGCUGAGGAGCGAAAGCGUGGGGAGCGAACAGG